rnacentral:pre_miRNA from 1 species
UUGCAAAUCACAUGGAGAUCUUGUUAAAAUGCAGAUUCUGAUUCACUAGGUCUGGAUUUGGGGCUUGAGAUUCUGCUUUUUGAACAAGCCCCCAGGUGAUUGUGGU